rfam:Human gut metagenome DNA, contig sequence: In-R_019423.
UCCAUCGUGAGGUGGAAUCUGAAGGAAGCUGGAUGUGAGGAAUAUACCAACUCACGGGCCAAUCUUUGGUCUGACGAACAGAAAUCUCCUAUGAGGUCGUGCCUGUGGGUUAGACAGCGACCCCUGUUUUAGCCCCAUUACUACACGGAAUCAUGCGUGAUUAAUGAGGCGGCUUGGUUGGGAGGAAGAAACUGUG